AAUUUUCAACACCGGAUCUGUUGGUUGGGGCAUCGAUGAAGAAAGCAGCAAAAUGCGAUAAGUAAUGUGAAUUGCAGAAUUCAGUGAAUCAUCGAAUCUUUGAACGCACAUUGCGCCCGCCAGUAUUCUGGCGGGCAUGCCUGUUCGAGCGUCAUUU
rnacentral:rRNA from 1 species